rnacentral:rRNA from 1 species
ACUCCUACGGCAGUCGGGGAAUUUUGCGCAAUGGGGGAAACCCUGACGCAGCAACGCCGCGUGGGUGAUGAAGGCCUUCGGGUCGUAAAGCUCUGUCUGGAGGGAAGAAAUGAUUGGGAGCUAAUACCUCUUGAUCUUGACGGUACCUCUGAAGGAAGCACCGGCUAACUCCGUGCCAGCAGCCGCGGUAAU